AUGGCCCUUACGAGUAGGGCUACACACGUGCUACAAUGGCGCAUACAAAGAGAAGCGACCUCGCGAGAGCAAGCGGACCUCAUAAAGUGCGUCGUAGUCCGGAUUGGAGUCUGCAACUCGACUCCAUGAAGUCGGAAUCGCUAGUAAUCGUGGAUCAGAAUGCCACGGUGAAUACGUUCCCGGGCCUUGUACACACCGCCCGUCACACCAUGGGAGUGGGUUGCAAAAGAAGUAGGUAGCUUAACCUUCGGGAGGGCGCUUACCACUUUGUGAUUCAUGACUGGGGUGAAGUCGUAACAAGGUAACCGUAGGGGAACCUGCGGUUGGAUCACCUCCUUACCUUAAAGAA
rnacentral:rRNA from 1 species